rnacentral:rRNA from 1 species
AUGUCCGUAGAUGUUCGGGGUCACAACAUGGAACAUAACGUCCACGGGGUCUUCAGCGAUGGUUGUGGUACAUGUUCUGUAGACGUUCGGGCGGCGGUAAUGGCACACAUUUUGAAGGUGAACUUGGCGAAUACGAAUCCCUUCGGGGUUGUCGUGGUACUAAGGUUCUUUGGACUUGACGGAUCCGAAGGGGUACUUGGCACAAUCCGCGUGGUCGUGCACUUGUCGUCGAAGGACUUGGCGGUCUGGACAAAACGAAGGGGUACUCGGCAAAACCAUGUCCUUCGGAGGUCGACGGUAGUGGUACAUAUUUCCGGGGUACUUGUCGGAUCCACGACGACGGUAGUGUAA